ACUGGAAGCAAUCUCAGCUCGGCACACAGGGCCAGCUCUCGCAGCCUCCCUCCCCUUCUUCCCAGAGCACUACACUCCUCCCGACACGCUCUCAUUGGCUCAGCCCGCCCGUCCAACAAGACAAAGGCAACCCUCAUAGGAGGCCGGAACUUACAUCCGCCCUCCACGUCAGCCAAUUUCUGGAGUAGAUUUGCAAGGAGCCCGCUGCCGAGGUGUUUACAGCUUGCAAGGGCCGAUUGUUUUAAGCCCACAAACUCGGUUUAACCAAGUCUGUGCAAGAGAUUCGGCAAAGGAGCGCUCAGUUGGCGUAAUGGAAGCUGUUGUUCUGAAGUCACGUGAUUCAACUCUGUUCCCUUCGGCAGAGCAGCCAAUCCCACCCCUGGUAGAGCCCAGCAGAGAAUUCUGCUUUGGAACGGAGGCCAAGUUGUUUUGCGCAAAUCGGAAUGCGGCUACAAGGUUACAGGCGGCCUGACUGUGCAGCGGCCGGAGGAUUCUGCCCAAGGAACACAACGCGCGCUGUUGCCGAGCUCAUCUCUCGGCACUCGGGACCUCAUAAAUUACAAACUACUAUUAGACUCCUUUCAAGGAGAUCCCGGAUUUGAAUGCUACUGCCCCAGUGCUAAUGAGUCAACAUGAAUAGGAUCGUGUAUUGCAACUUGCUUAUAGGAAUAAAGUCAAGUGACUAGGAUAGCUGCAGUCCGUAAGUCAAACAGCUGGUCUCAGGGAAAGUGCGUGUUCUUAAAAACAGGUCCGUAAUUAGUAUUGACUCACAAGCUACAAGCGGGCCUGCACUGGAUCCACAAAUAACUAGUUCCGGUCUAUUCCCGAGUAUAUUUACUCGGCAGCAAGCCACGCUUUGUUCAGUGGAACGUUUGUAGAAGUGAGAGUGGUAAGGUAGGUGACAUGACAGUGCAAUCCUAAACACGGUUUUUCAAUCGGACUUUUCUCUAGGAAAGCAUUUGUAGGAUUCCCAUGUAAAACUUGUUAAAAUUACGCAAGAAUUAACUGAACUGUGUGGUAAACUUGGCUGGGAAAGAUGAGCUGUAGUAGGGGAUUGAAUGCUACCUACCAAUGUUGGAUGAGCUCCAUUUCUUAAGCUUCCCCUGUGCAGCUAGUGGUAUACUAACAAAAAGUAUCUGAUGAAUGUGAGCUUUCACACGAAAGCUUAUAUCCAGAAUUAAACUGUGUUGAUCUUAAGGGUGUCACUAGACUCAAACUUUGUUAAAUGGCAGACAGGAGCAGCCUGAAGAAGGGGGAAGACACAAAGCCUUCAGGUAGGAAGGCGAACAGCCUCCAAUUUCCUUAUCUGUGAGUGUAAAGUGGAAUCUAAUCUUUGUGAAUUGCUUUAACACUUCAGUACACUUUCCUGUUUGUCGGCUCUGGCAAGCAGCUCUCUCCUUGGGGCAGCCAGACAAGAGGCUUUUAUUAACCCCCUUCUUCCCAAACUGUUGAUCUGAUGCUUGGAGAAAAUAUUAUGCAAAAUUGAAGAGUGACAACUGGUACCCAUGGUUUGAGAUUAAGAAACCGGAAGAGUUUUACAGGGUUGGUUCUCAACAGCUUUCUCUUUUUUCAAGAUAUAUCGACUAAACACAAGUCACCUGGAACCAGUUUUCCUCAGAUAAUCAAAAGGAAAAAGGCUUUGCUCAAAGAAAAUUAUAUCAAAACAAGUAAUUCAAAUUGCCCUUUAAAAUUGGCCGGGUAAUUUAUGCUGGACUUUUUAAAACACUAAAAAAUGGCAGCUAGAUGAUUACACUUAGGACAGUACAGUUUUCAUAAACCAGCUGCAAAAGAGCCAAGCAAAUGCUACAGAAUUUCAAAAUAGCCCUAUCUGGUAUCCUGAUCUUAAUAGCAUUCAAGUCAGGGAGACUUGUUUUGCAAGUCAACCCUAAAGCUAUUUUUCUUUGAGGGUCAGUUCAUAAUAAGUCUUCUCUAUCCAUAGGGCUAUUGUAUUAACAGGCCUUGUACUGAGCCUUAAACCACAGCCUGGUCUAUACAAAUGCACAACAGGAAACUUCACCUGUUUCAGGCAGGAAUGAGUGAGGUAGUAACAGCCCUUUUGUGAGCAAAUGUCCCUGGGGACACACUGAUGUGGAUAGUCUUGGUAUUAAUAGGGCAGCAGUUGUGGUCAGGAGCAGUUCCUGUGAUCCUGCUAACCUGAAGAGUACCUGAGUUACGUAUAUCAAAGAUGAUUCCUGCAAAAAGUACUGAUUUGGCCCAUUUCCUACUAGAAUAAUUGCUGACACAGAGAGCCAUUCAUCACUUUGAUGGCAGCAUCAAGAAUAGAACUGGAUGUGUGAAUUAAGCAAUUCCAGUUAUUAACACCAUCCUAAACUCAGUGGGUUGGAGCCAACCAACUUUUCUGCUAGUGAAAAAGAAAGGGUUUAUUUAAAAGAAAAAAGAAAAGGAAGAAGGCUAUGCUGAGAAUCAUGGGACUUACAUAUACAAAAGUUUCUACAUGUAGUCAUUCUACCUUCAACAAGGGGUCAAGCUUGUAAACAUGCAAAUGUAACUGUUUAUAUAUGAAUAAGUAAUCAUAGUGUUCACAAACUAGAUCCAGUUAUCAAAUUUCCAGACAGGCAUAAUUAGAAAUUCUACCAAAUUCCAUAGAACUAAUAGUGCAGUCCUGAAAAUCUAAGCCCAUCAAAGUCAAUGGGCAUAGAAGGAUGUGACUGUUUAAGUAAAUUAGCUGAUAAUCUCAAGUACACUGACUAUGGGCUCAGGCCCAUAGACCACUUGUCUCCACCCAUCUAUUACAACUGGGCUUACAAUAAAGAGUUCACACCUUGUUCUAGAACUUCACCUGCCACAAACCAAUUACAGUAUUACUGGGGAGGGGUGUGUGAUUUUGUUAGUUAGCAGGUUUCUUUCCCCCAGCAGUUAUACCUUUCCUUAUUUUUUACUGAAUUUAAAUGAAGAGCUCAGAAUGAGAGAUGCAGCAGAAAUACCCCACCCCUUCAGAUUUAGCAGCCAAAAUAGAAGGGCACCCAGUCAUCUUGCUGAAUCUCAUACAUCCAUGUUACAAAUAAGGAAUUCUGUAGCAGAAAAAAUACUGAAAGAAUUUAUCUUUCCUCUUUAGAAAUGCCAUUUUCCAGUAGUUAGCCUGUUCCCAAGUAGUCCUAUGAAACCCACUACUGAGGGCGACAUUCACAGCAGGCAAGCUUGGAGUUCUCUCUGCUGUUCCAUGACAGCCCUCCCACUGCAGAGGGCAUUCUUGAGUUACUAUAAACAUUCAAGUCGUGAAAUGUUACAGCUCUCAUUAAAAGAAGCUACAUUUCAUACAAGGUGUUUUAUUGUUUGGUUGUAAAAUUGGGGGAUGGGGGCUUUUUUUCUGAUCAUUUCCUUUUGCAUCUUUUACAAUAAUAUAAAGAAUGCUGAAUUUGCUUUUAAAAAUUUUGUAUAACAAAGUUUGAGUCCAGUGGCACCUUUAAGAUCAACACAAUUUUAUCCAAGGUAUAAUGGUCUGUGUGCAACUUUGGAUCUUGUAACACAAACACACAUAUCACUGUCUCUGAUAGACUGCCAUAUCUACCGUCACUGAAGACUGGGAUCUUUUGAAAUGCUGACAUAUCAAAUGGAUUGAUGAGCUUGUAAAGGGGUCAGCAAAACCAGACAGCUAGUGCAGGCCAAGAAUCUAGUCCCUGCUCUGAAGUCAGAUCCUCUGUGUUUUGACAGAUUAGCCAAUAGCCCUACUACUCACUCUCAACAGUAUACAAGAAGCAACCCAGAGAUUUUCCACAGAAAUAGCUGUCCCAUUGACAGCAUGAUUUCUAACUCCUUAGACAGUGUAACCAACUUUAGACCUGAACUAUGUGUUUCUUUAAGGCUAAGAAAGCAAGCCAAGAGAGAUUUAAGCAAGGUUCAAGCUGAAAUCCACACCUUGACUUGUACACAUACUAAAGGCUUCAAUUGUAAUUUGAAUGGACAAUAAACAAUCAAACAGUCAA